rnacentral:rRNA from 1 species
CCGGCGCACGGGUGAGUAACACGUAUCCAACCUGCCGUCUACUCUUGGACAGCCUUCUGAAAGGAAAAUUAAUACAAGAUGGCAUCAUGAGUCCGCAUGUUCACAUGAUUAAAGGUAUUCCGGUAGACGAUGGGGAUGCGUUCCAUUAGAUAGUAGGCGGGGUAACGGCCCACCUAGUCUUCGAUGGAUAGGGGUUCUGAGAGGAAGGUCCCCCACAUUGGAACUGAGACACGGUCCAA